CAAAAUGUAGCUUAAUUAAAGCAUCUCGCUUACACCGAGAAAAAAUCUGUUAAACUCAGAUCAUCUUGA
rnacentral:tRNA from 1 species